rnacentral:rRNA from 1 species
ACCAGACUCCUACGGGAGGCAGCAGUGGGGGAUAUUGCACAAUGGGGGAAACCCUGAUGCAGCGACGCCGCGUGGGUGAAGAAGUAUUUCGGUAUGUAAAGCUCUCUCAGCAGGGAAGAAAAUGACAGUACCUGACCAAGAAGCCCCGGCUAACUACGUGCCAGCAGCCGCGGUAAUACGUAUGGUGCAAGCGUUAUCCGGAUUUACUGGGUGUAAAGGGAGCGCAGGCGGCACGGCAAGCCUGAUGUGAAAGCCCGCGGCCCAACCGCGGGACUGCUCUUGGAACUGCGUGGCUGGAGUGCAGGAGGGGCAGGCGGAAUUCCUGGUGUAGCGGUGAAAUGCGUAGAUAUCAGGAGGAACACCGGUGGCGAAGGCGGCCUGCUGGACUGCAACUGACGUUGAGGCCCGAAAGCGUGGGGAGCAAACAGGAUUAGAUACCCGGGUA